rnacentral:rRNA from 1 species
AGUGAACGCUGGCGGUAGGCCUAACACAUGCAAGUCGAACGGCAGCACAGUAAGAGCUUGCUCUUACGGGUGGCGAGUGGCGGACGGGUGAGGAAUACAUCGGAAUCUACUUUUUCGUGGGGGAUAACGUAGGGAAACUUACGCUAAUACCGCAUACGACCUACGGGUGAAAGCAGGGGAUCUUCGGACCUUGCGCGAUUGAAUGAGCCGAUGUCGGAUUAGCUAGUUGGCGGGGUAAAGGCCCACCAAGGCGACGAUCCGUAGCUGGUCUGAGAGGAUGGCAGGCCACCUGGAAAGUGAGACCCGGACCACACCCCUAGGGGGGGGGGCGGGGGGAAAUUUUGGACAAUGGGCGCAGGCUUGAUCCAGCAAUCCCGGGGGGGGGAAGAAGCCUUUGGGUUUAGAAAGCUCUUUUGUGGGAAAAAAAAAGCAGCAGGUAAAUACCCCCCUGUCCGGACGGUACCCAAAGAAAAAGCCCCGGCUAACUCCGUG